UGGGGAAUAUUGGACAAUGGGCGCAAGCCUGAUCCAGCCAUGCCGCGUGAGUGAUGACGGCCUUAGGGUUGUAAAGCUCUUUCGCCAGGGACGAUAAUGACGGUACCUGGAUAAGAAGCCCCGGCUAACUUCGUGCCAGCAGCCGCGGUAAUACGAGGGGGCUAGCGUUGUUCGGAAUUACUGGGCGUAAAGCGCGUGUAGGCGGGUCGCUAAGUCAAGGGUGAAAUGCCAAGGCUCAACCUUGGAACUGCCUUUGAUACUGGAGAUCUUGAGUCCGGGAGAGGUGAGUGGAACUGCGAGUGUAGAGGUGAAAUUCGUAGAUAUUCGCAAGAACACCAGUGGCGAAGGCGGCUCACUGGCCCGGAACUGACGCUGAGACGCGAAAGCGUGGGGAGCAAACAGGAUUAGAUACCCUGGUAGUCCACGCUGUAAACGAUGGAUGCUAGCCGUUGGGGAGCUUGCUCUUCAGUGGCGCCGCUAACGCUUUAAGCAUCCCGCCUGGGGAGUACGGUCGCAAGA
rnacentral:rRNA from 1 species